rnacentral:pre_miRNA from 14 species
UUACUACUCGCAACGUCCCUUAUCUUCUGAAAUCUCUGUUUCGAUCACUAAUUGGAGUGAUCCCAGGGAUUCUCAGUAGAUUAGGGCAUCGAGUCGGCU